rnacentral:rRNA from 1 species
GUGGGGAAUAUUAGGCAAUGGGGGAAACCCUGACCUAGCAACGCCGCGUGAAGGAUGAAGGUCUUCGGAUUGUAAACUUCUUUGGCCCGGGACGAUAAUGACGGUACCGGGAGAACAAGCCACGGCUAACUACGUGCCAGCAGCCGCGGUAAUACGUAGGUGGCAAGCGUUGUCCGGAUUUACUGGGUGUAAAGGGCGAGUAGGCGGGGAUGUAAGUCAGAUGUGAAAUACCGAGGCUUAACUUCGGAGCUGCAUUUGAAACUGCAUUUCUUGAGUGAUGGAGAGGCAGGCGGAAUUCCCGGUGUAGCGGUGAAAUGCAUAGAGAUCGGGAGGAACACCAGUGGCGAAGGCGGCCUGCUGGACAUUAACUGACGCUGAGGCGCGAAAGUGUGGGGAGCAAACAGGAUUAGAUACCCGUGUAGUCC